AUUGAACGCUGGCGGCAGGCCUAACACAUGCAAGUCGAGCGGAAGAAGGGAGCUUGCUCCUGGAUUCAGCGGCGGACGGGAGAGUAAUGCCUAGGAAUCUGCCUGGAAGUGGGGGAUAACGUCCGGAAACGGGCGCUAAUACCGCAUACGUCCUGAGGGAGAAAGUGGGGGAUCUUCGGACCUCACGCUAUCAGAUGAGCCUAGGUCGGAUUAGCUAGUUGGUGGGGUAAAGGCCUACCAAGGCGACGAUCCGUAACUGGUCUGAGAGGAUGAUCAGUCACACUGGAACUGAGACACGGUCCAGACUCCUACGGGAGGCAGCAGUGGGGAAUAUUGGACGAUGGGCGAAAUCCUGAUCCAGCCAUGCCGCGUGGGUGAAGAAGGUCCUCGGAUUGUAAAGCACUUUAAGUGGUGUGGAAGGGCAGUAAGUUAAUACCUUGCUGUUUUGACGUUACCAACAGAAUAAGCACCGGCUAACUUCGUG
rnacentral:rRNA from 1 species